GAGUUUGAUCAUGGCUCAGAUUGAACGCUGGCGGCAUGCCUUACACAUGCAAGUCGAACGGUAACGGGUCCUUCGGGAUGCCGACGAGUGGUGAACGGGUGAGUAAUAUAUCGGAACGUGCCCAGUAGUGGGGAGUAACUGCUCGAAAGAGCAGCUAAUACCGCAUACGACCUGAGGGUGAAAGGGGGGGAGUCGCAAGACCUCUCGCUAUUGGAGCGGCCGAUAUCAGAUUAGCUAGUUGGUGGGGUAAAGGCCUACCAAGGCAACGAUCUGUAGUUGGUCUGAGAGGACGACCAGCCACACUGGGACUGAGACACGGCCCAGACUCCUACGGGAGGCAGCAGUGGGGAAUUUUGGACAAUGGGCGCAAGCCUGAUCCAGCAAUGCCGCGUGCAGGAAGAAGGCC
rnacentral:rRNA from 1 species